rnacentral:rRNA from 1 species
AGGGAAUAUUGGACAAUGGGCGAAAGCCUGAUCCAGCAAUGCCGCGUGUGUGAAGAAGGCCUGCGGGUUGUAAAGCACUUUCAGUUGAGAAGAAAAGCAUGAUGCUAAUAUCAUCGUGUCUUGACGUUACCAACAGAAGAAGCACCGGCUAACUCUGUGCCAGCAGCCGCGGUAAUACAGAGGGUGCAAGCGUUAAUCGGAAUUACUGGGCGUAAAGCGUGCGUAGGCGGCUUAAUAAGUCGGAUGUGAAAGCCCUGGGCUUAACCUGGGAAUUGCAUUCGAUACUGUUUAGCUAGAGUACAGUAGAGGAAAGUGGAAUUCCACGUGUAGCGGUGAAAUGCGUAGAUAUGUGGAGGAACACCAGUGGCGAAGGCGGCUUUCUGGACUGAUACUGACGCUGAGGUACGAAAGCGUGGGGAGCAAAC